AAUCAACGCUGGCGGCGUGCCUCAGACGUGCAAGUCGAACGAUUAAAGCUCUCUUCGGAGAGUGUAUAGAGUGGCGCACGGGUGAGUAACACGUAAGUAAUCUACCUUUGAGUGGGGAAUAACAGUCGGAAACGGCUGCUAAUACCGCAUAAUGCAGCGGCAUCGCAAGAUGACAGUUGUUAAAGGAGCAAUCCGCUUAAAGAGGAGCUUGCGGCAGAUUAGCUUGUUGGUAAGGUAACGGCUUACCAAGGCUACGAUCUGUAUCCGGUCUAAGAGGACGGUCGGACACACUGACACUGAAUAACGGGUCAGACUCCUACGGGAGGCAGCAGUCGGGAAUUUUGGGCAAUGGGCGAAAGCCUGACCCAGCAACGCCGCGUGAAGGAUGAAGUAUUUCGGUAUGUAAACUUCGAAAGAAUAGGAAGAAUAAAUGACGGUACUAUUUAUAAGCUCCGGCUAACUAC
rnacentral:rRNA from 1 species